rnacentral:misc_RNA from 1 species
AGCAGCCGCGGUAAUUCCAGCUCCAAUAGCGUAUAUUAAAGUUGUUGCAGUUAAAAAGCUCGUAGUUGAAUUUUGGGUCUGGCCGGGCGGUCCGCCCUCUGGGUGAGCACUGUUCCGACGCCGGGCCUAUCCUUCUGGUGAGUCGGCAUGUCCUUUAUUGGGUGUGCCGGGGAACCAGGACCAUUACCUUGAAAAAUUAGAGUGUUCAAAGCAGGCGUAUGCUCGGAUACAUUAGCAUGGAAUAAUGAAAUAGGACGCGUGGUGCUAUUUUGUUGGUUUCUAGAACCGCCGUAAUGAUUAAUAGGGAUAGUUGGGGGCAUUAGUAUUUAAUUGUCAGAGGUGAAAUUCUUGGAUUUAUUGAAGACUAACUUCUGCGAAAGCAUUUGCCAAGGAUGUUUUCAUUAAUCAAGAACGAAAGUUAGGGGAUCGAAGACGAUCAGAUACCGUCGUAGUCUUAACCAUAAACUAUGCCGACUAGGAAUCGGGCGAUGUUAUUCUCAUGACUCGCCCGGCGCCUU